rnacentral:ribozyme from 15 species
UUUUUUUUUUUUUUUUUUUUUUUUUUGCU